AAAACUUCUUUCUCUUCUCAGUUAUCUCUUCCUUCCUCUCUUCUACUGUUCUUCUCCCUUCUAUUCUGAAUUCUUCUCCCAUUUUCUAUUCUUUUGAGAUUGAUGAUUAAGUCUCAUGACCAGGAGACCUAACUGUUGGAAUCCCUGAAUUACAGCUAUAGCAUAUUAUCAGUGAUGCAGUGCGCAAAUCUAUACCAAACCCGAAAACUUGUGUUUUUCCAUUUUCAUGAGAAUUCCUAAUUCUAAAUGGAUUCUUUAUUUUUCUAGAUAAGUUUUAUUUAUAUUUCUAAUUUCUUUAGGACUCUAAAAUAUUUUUUUUAUUUAAUUUAGAUCUUUAAAUAU
rnacentral:misc_RNA from 1 species